rnacentral:lncRNA from 1 species
GUAAUAAGGAGUGAAAUCCCUUUAUUAAUAGCCACCUCAUCCUUUGCUGAAGGCUUGACAUAAAUGAAGAUGCAACUACCGGAAGAAUUGUGGAGAGGAGAAGAAAGAGCACAUUCAUCGUUUGGAGUUUCAAAUGAAUCAAGUAUUGUGAUUAAUAAAAUAUUUUCAGUUGCUCUGGCUGCUAGCAAGAUAACAUAUUCAACCCAAAUGCC